rnacentral:rRNA from 1 species
UACGUAGGGCGCGAGCGUUGUCCGGAUUUAUUGGGCGUAAAGGGCUUGUAGGCGGCUUGUCGCGUCGGAUGUGAAAACCCGUGGCUCAACUGCGGGCCUGCAUUCGAUACGGGCUGGCUAGAGUACGGCAGGGGAGACUGGAAUUCCUGGUGUAGCGGUGGAAUGCGCAGAUAUCAGGAGGAACACCGGUGGCGAAGGCGGCUCACUGGCCCGAUACUGACGCUGAGGUGCGAAAGCGUGGGGAGCAAACAGG